GCUGUUUUGGCAGAUAAGUGCAUUAGAUUUAGAAUCUAUUAAUGUGAAUUUUUAUUUACAGGCAGUA
rnacentral:tRNA from 1 species